UAUUCAAAACCUAUGCAAUAUGCUCAAUCAAACUCAGUUCGUCAAUAAAUUAUAAUCAAAUUCUUAAUGAAUUAAAUUCUUUGGUGCAGGGCUCACAAAAUCAAGCCAAGGAGGCUCAACAAGAUGGAUAUUGGCAGCAAUCUGAGGAGUUUUAUUUAACCCCUAUGCAGCCACCACCGCAUACCCCACAACAAUUCCAAUCAAAUUCAAGUAUGUCCAUGG
rnacentral:lncRNA from 1 species